rnacentral:rRNA from 1 species
ACGAACGCUGGCGGCACGCUUAACACAUGCAAGUCGAACGAGAGAAGAGAAGCUUGCUUUUCUGAUCUAGUGGCGGACGGGUGAGUAACACGUGAGCAAUCUGCCUUUCAGAGGGGGAUACCGAUUGGAAACGAUCGUUAAUACCGCAUAAUAUAAUUGAACCGCAUGAUUUGAUUAUCAAAGAUUUAUCGCUGAAAGAUGAGCUCGCGUCUGAUUAGCUAGUUGGUAAAGUAACGGCUUACCAAGGCGACGAUCAGUAGCCGGACUGAGAGGUUGAUCGGCCACAUUGGGACUGAGACACGGCCCAGACUCCUACGGGAGGCAGCAGUGGGGAAUAUUGCACAAUGGAGGAAACUCUGAUGCAGCGAUGCCGCGUGAGGGAAGAAGGUUUUAGGAUUGUAAACCUCUGUCUUCAGGGACGAAAAAAGACGGUACCUGAGGAGGAAGCUCCGGCUAACUACGUGCCAGCAGCCGCGGUAAUACGUAGGGAGCGAGCGUUGUCCGGAAUUACUGGGUGUAAAGGGAGCGUAGGCGGGAUCGCAAGUCAGAUGUGAAAACUAUGGGCUUAACCCAUAAACUGCAUUUGAAACUGUGGUUCUUGAGUGAAGUAGAGGUAAGCGGAAUUCCUAGUGUAGCGGUGAAAUGCGUAGAUAUUAGGAGGAACAUCAGUGGCGAAGGCGGCUUACUGGGCUUUAACUGACGCUGAGGCUCGAAAGCGUGGGGAGCAAACAGGAUUAGAUACCCUGGUAGUCCACGCCGUAAACGAUGAUUACUAGGUGUGGGGGGACUGACCCCUUCCGUGCCGCAGCAAACGCAAUAAGUAAUCCACCUGGGGAGUACGACCGCAAGGUUGAAACUCAAAGGAAUUGACGGGGGCCCGCACAAGCAGUGGAGUAUGUGGAUUAAUUCGAAGCAACGCGAAGAACCUUACCAGGUCUUGACAUCGUAUGCAUAGCUCAGAGAUGAGUGAAAUCUCUUCGGAGACAUAUAGACAGGUGGUGCAUGGUUGUCGUCAGCUCGUGUCGUGAGAUGUUGGGUUAAGUCCCGCAACGAGCGCAACCCUUACUGUUAGUUGCUACGCAAGAGCACUCUAGCAGGACUGCCGUUGACAAAACGGAGGAAGGUGGGGAUGACGUCAAAUCAUCAUGCCCCUUAUGACCUGGGCCUCACACGUACUACAAUGGCUGUUAACAGAGGGAUGCAAAGCCGCGAGGUGGAGCGAACCCCUAAAAGCAGUCUUAGUUCGGAUUGUAGGCUGCAACCCGCCUACAUGAAGUCGGAAUUGCUAGUAAUCGCAGAUCAGCAUGCUGCGGUGAAUACGUUCCCGGGCCUUGUACACACCGCCCGUCACGCCAUGGGAGUCGGUAACACCCGAAGCCUGUAGUCUAACCGCAAGGAGGACGCAGUCGAAGGUGGGAUUGAUGACUGGGGUG